rnacentral:rRNA from 1 species
AUACGGAGGGUGCAAGCGUUACUCGGAAUCACUGGGCGUAAAGCGCGCGCAGGCGGCUUGAUAAGUUGGAUGUGAAAGCCUACGGCUCAACCGUAGAACUGCAUCCAAAACUAUUAGACUAGAGUGUGGGAGAGGAAGAUGGAAUUAGUUGUGUAGGGGUAAAAUCCGUAGAGAUAACUAGGAAUACCAAAAGCGAAGGCAAUCUUCUGGAACACUACUGACGCUGAGGCGCGAAAGCGUGGGGAGCAAACAGGAUUAGAAACCCCAGUAGUCC